rnacentral:rRNA from 1 species
CACAAGCGGUGGAGCAUGUGGUUUAAUUCGAAGCAACGCGAAGAACCUUACCAGGUCUUGACAUCCUUUUGAAUGGUCUAGAGAUAGAUCAGGCCUUCGGGACAGAAGAGACAGGUGGUGCAUGGUUGUCGUCAGCUCGUGUCGUGAGAUGUUGGGUUAAGUCCCGCAACGAGCGCAACCCUUAUCAUUAGUUGCUAACAUUCAGUUGAGAACUCUAAUGAGACUGCCAGUGAUAAACUGGAGGAAGGUGGGGAUGACGUCAAAUCAUCAUGCCCCUUAUGACCUGGGCUACACACGUGCUACAAUGGCCGGUACAAAGAGUUGCGAAACUGUGAAGUUAAGCUAAUCUCAUAAAGCCGGUCUCAGUUCGGAUUGUAGUCUGCAACUCGACUACAUGAAGUCGGAAUCGCUAGUAAUCGCGAAUCAGAAUGUCGCGGUGAAUACGUUCUCGAGUCUU